rnacentral:rRNA from 1 species
GACGAACCGCCCGAACGUUAUUCGGAAUCACUGGGCUUAAAGGGAGCGUAGGCGGGCUGCCAAGUCCGGGGUGAAAUCCUCCAGCUUAACUGGAGAACUGCCUCGGAUACUGGAAGUCUCGAGGAGGGUAGGGGCAAGUGGAACCGUGGGUGGAGCGGUGAAAUGCGUUGAUAUCCAUGGGAACUCCGGUGGCGAAGGCGGCCAAUUGGCCCAACACUGACGCUGAGAUACGAAAGCGUGGGGAUCAAACAGG